rnacentral:rRNA from 1 species
AACGAACGCUGGCGGCAUGCCUAACACAUGCAAGUCGAACGAGACCUUCGGGUCUAGUGGCGCACGGGUGCGUAACGCGUGGGAACCUGCCCUUAGGUUCGGAAUAACUCCCCGAAAGGGGUGCUAAUACCGGAUAAUGUCUUCGGACCAAAGAUUUAUCGCCUUUGGAUGGGCCCGCGUUGGAUUAGCUAGUUGGUAGGGUAAAAGCCUACCAAGGCGACGAUCCAUAGCUGGUCUGAGAGGAUGAUCAGCCACACUGGGACUGAGACACGGCCCAGACUCCUACGGGGAGCAGCAGUGGGGAAUAUUGGACAAUGGGCGAAAGCCUGAUCCAGCAAUGCCGCGUGAGUGAUGAAGCCCUUAGGGUUGUAAAGCUCUUUUACCCGGGAUGAUAAUGACAGUACCGGGAAAAUAAGCACCGGCUAACUCCGUG